GAUGAACGCUGGCGGUAUGCUUAACACAUGCAAGUCGAACGGACUCUUCGGAGUUAGUGGCGGACGGGUGAGUAACGCGUGAGAAUCUGGCUUUGGGUUCGGGACAACCACUGGAAACGGUGGCUAAUACCGGAUGUGCCGAGAGGUAAAAGAGAAAUUGCCUGAAGAUGAGCUCGCGUCUGAUUAGCUAGUUGGUGAGGUAAAGGCUCACCAAGGCAGCGAUCAGUAGCUGGUGUGAGAGGAUGACCAGCCACACUGGGACUGAGACACGGCCCAGACACCUACGGGAGGCAGCAGUGGGGAAUUUUCCGCAAUGGGCGGAAGCCUGACGGAGCAAUACCGCGUGAGGGAAGAAGGCUCUUGGGUUGUAAACCUCUUUUCUUAGGGAAGAACAAAAUGACGGUACCUAAGGAAUCAGCAUCGGCUAACUCCGUG
rnacentral:rRNA from 1 species